AUGGCGACCGGCGCACGGGUGAGUAACACGUAUCCAACCUGCCGAUAGCUCGGGGAUAGCCUUUCGAAAGAAAGAUUAAUACCCGAUGGUAUAAUCAGACCGCAUGGUUUGAUUAUUAAAGAAUUUCGGUUAUCGAUGGGGAUGCGUUCCAUUAGGCAGUUGGUGAGGUAACGGCUCACCAAACCUUCGAUGGAUAGGGGUUCUGAGAGGAAGGUCCCCCACAUUGGAACUGAGACACGGUCCAA
rnacentral:rRNA from 1 species